UGGGGAAUUUUGGACAAUGGGCGAAAGCCUGAUCCAGCAAUGCCGCGUGUGUGAAGAAGGCCUUCGGGUUGUAAAGCACUUUUGUCCGGAAAGAAAUCCUUGGCUCUAAUACAGUCGGGGGAUGCGGUACCGGAAGAAUAAGCACCGGCUAACUACGUGCCAGCAGCCGCGGUAAUACGUAGGGUGCAAGCGUUAAUCGGAAUUACUGGGCGUAAAGCGUGCGCAGGCGGUUUGCUAAGACCGAUGUGAAAUCCCCGGGCUCAACCUGGGAACUGCAUUGGUGACUGGCAGGCUAGAGUAUGGCAGAGGGGGGUAGAAUUCCACGUGUAGCAGUGAAAUGCGUAGAGAUGUGGAGGAAUACCGAUGGCGAAGGCAGCCCCCUGGGCCAAUACUGACGCUCAUGCACGAAAGCGUGGGGAGCAAAACAGGAUUAGAUACCCUGGUAGUCCACGCCCUAAAACGAUGUCAACUAGUUGUUGGGGGAUUCAUUUCCUUAGUAACGUAGCUAACGCGUGAAGUUGACCGCCUGGGGAGUACGGUCGCAAAGAUUAAAACUC
rnacentral:rRNA from 1 species